GAUGAACGCUAGCUACAGGCUUAACACAUGCAAGUCGAGGGGCAGCACAGUGUAGCAAUACAUGGGUGGCGACCGGCGCACGGGUGCGUAAACGCGUAUCCAACCUUCCCGUUACUCAGGGAUAGCCUUCCGAAAGGGAGAUUAAUACCUGAUGGUAUUCAAAUUUCGCAUGUUAUUUGAAUUAAAGAUUUAUCGGUAACGGAUGGGGAUGCGUGACAUUAGAUAGUAGGCGGGGUAACGGCCCACCUAGUCUAACGAUAGUCUAGGGGUUCCUGAGAGGAAGGUCCCCCCANACUGGAACUGAGACACGGUCCAGACUCCUACGGGAGGCAGCAGUGAGGAAUAUUGGUCAAUGGUCGGAAGACUGAACCAGCCAAGUAGCGUGAAGGAUGG
rnacentral:rRNA from 1 species